GACGAACGCUGGCGGCGUGCUUAACACAUGCAAGUCGAACGGAAAGGCCCUGCUUUUGUGGGGUGCUCGAGUGGCGAACGGGUGAGUAACACGUGAGUAACCUGCCCUUGACUUUGGGAUAACUUCAGGAAACUGGGGCUAAUACCGGAUAGGAGCUCCUGCUGCAUGGUGGGGGUUGGAAAGUUUCGGCGGCUGGGGAUGGACUCGCGGCUUAUCAGCUUGUUGGUGGGGUAGUGGCUUACCAAGGCUUUGACGGGUAGCCGGCCUGAGAGGGUGACCGGCCACAUUGGGACUGAGAGACGGCCCAGACUCCUACGGGAGGCAGCAGUGGGGAAUAUUGCACAAUGGGCGGAAGCCUGAUGCAGCAACGCCGCGUGCGGGAUGACGGCCUUCGGGUUGUAAACCGCUUUCGCCUGUGACGAAGCGUGAGUGACGGUAAUGGGUAAAGAAGCACCGGCUAACUACGUG
rnacentral:rRNA from 1 species